UACGGAAGGCAGCAGUGGGGAAUAUUGCACAAUGGGCGCAAGCCUGAUGCAGCCAUGCCGCGUGUAUGAAGAAGGCCUUCGGGUUGUAAAGUACUUUCAGUCGUGAGGAAGGUGUUAAGGUUAAUAACCUUAGCAAUUGACGUUAGCGACAGAAGAAGCACCGGCUAACUCCGUGCCAGCAGCCGCGGUAAUACGGAGGGUGCGAGCGUUAAUCGGAAUUACUGGGCGUAAAGGGCACGCAGGCGGUUAAUUAAGUUGGAUGUGAAAUCCCCGGGCUUAACCUGGGAAUGGCAUUCAAGACUGGUUAGCUAGAGUCUUGUAGAGGGGGUAGAAUUCCGAUGUGUAGCGGUGAAAUGCGUAGAGAUGUGGAGGAAUACCGGUGGCGAAGGCGGCCCCUGGACCAAAGGACUGACGCUCAUGUGCGAAAGCGUGGGGAGCAAACAGGGAUUAGAUACC
rnacentral:rRNA from 1 species